GGGGAAGUAAAAGUCGUAACAAGGUUACCGUAGGUGAACCUGCGGUAGGAUCAUUGUCGGUUCCGGUCCCUUAACUGUGUAGGGGAAGUAGACGAGCACGGCAUGCCGGAGCUCGUUUCUCCCCGCACCCAAAAUCUUGACGACGUGCGGACGGUGGGUUGCAUAGCAUCGCGCUGCGUGUCCCAUCUCUAAGUCCUGCGUCGUUGGGGUCGAGGGGUUAUUGAUUGCCGUGGUUGAAUGCAUGUCUCUUCGCUAGGGGAGAGAAGCUCAUGUCCGAUCUGAUUUGCGACUUGUGCGCUCGAACGGCGUCCGCGCCGGGAGGAGUGGUCUUGUCCAGUUGCAAUCAGGGGAGACCUGAGCAUUUUCCCCCCGUAGAGGCUGCAUGCUUCGAUUGCGCGCGCGGCGCUGUGCCAGGGAUCCGUCGUUUCGACGAUGGCAAGUCGGGACUGCCGCAACCCCCUGUUGCGUUGCUCAGGUGGCAACACGCCGAUUGGAGGGAACUUUGUCUAGGACGGGUGCACUCGCGCAUUUUUGCGGGGACAAGAAACCCCCCGUUCGACAACACGGUUCUCCCAAGGCGGUGUCCACCUUUGCGAGGGGGAUGGGGCGGGGACAACACCGCAUUGUUCUUCGGGUGCACCCCUUCAUUGAGGGAGGCAGAGCCUCUCGAUUUUUGGGGUGCCCGAAGACCGGAUGUGUCAACACCAACACACGGGUGCACCACGCACCUCUGAAAUCCAAGCAUUGAAGUGCGAUUCGAGCGCCUUGCGCGUUUGGGUCGACAAGAAAAGAAAAAUAAAAACACGACUCUCGGCAACGGAUAUCUCGGCUCUCGCCACGAUGAAGAAUGUAGCGAAAUGCGAUACUUAGUGUGAAUUGCAGAAUCCCGUGAAUCAUCGAGUCUUUGAACGCAAGUUGCGCCCGAGGCCUCGGCCAAGGGCACGUCUGCUUGGGCGUCGCACUCCAAGUUCGCCCUCCCUUGCGGAGGAGCGUAGAUGGCCGUCCGUGUCCGAUUGUGGUGCGGUCGGCUGAAAUGAGCACGUGGUCCGUCGAUUUGUCGCGACGAGCGGUGGCCUACGAAGGUCGGCGUUGGUUUGCGCGGUUCGAGUGAGGCCGAGUGUUGAACUUUAAAUCGGGCACAGCGGCCUGCCAUAGUGCGGGCACGUUGGGCCCCCUUCCGCGUCCCCAAGUCAGGCGUGAAUACCCGCUGAGUUUAAGCAUAUCAAUAAGCGGAGGA
rnacentral:rRNA from 1 species